rnacentral:rRNA from 1 species
GUCUACGGCUAUGCCACCCUGAACACGGGCCUGGUUAGUACUUGGAUGGGAGACCACGUAGGAAGACCAGGUGCUAUAGGUG